AAAAAGAGCAUCUGCUUUGAUUGGCACAGUUGUGAAAGAGACUGCCUGACACAGUUACAGAAUCAUUAUUAAGAGAUUUCGGAUGCACGUAUUUUUAAGACUCAAGACUGCUAGUAAUUGAUGAUUGUGGCGUCCUA
ensembl:snRNA U11 spliceosomal RNA